rnacentral:misc_RNA from 1 species
AACGCACAUUGCGCCCCCUGGUAUUCCGGGGGGCAUGCCUGUCCGAGCGUCAUUGCUGCCCUCAAGCACGGCUUGUGUGUUGGGCUCCGCCCCCCGGCUCCCGGGGGGCGGGCCCGAAAGGCAGCGGCGGCACCGCGUCCGGUCCUCGAGCGUAUGGGGCUUCGUCACCCGCUCUGUAGGCCCGGCCGGCGCCCGCCGGCGACCCCAAUCAAUCUAUCCAGGUUGACCUCGGAUCAGGUAGGGAUACCCGCUGAACUUAA